rnacentral:misc_RNA from 1 species
GAUGAAGAACGUAGCGAAAUGCGAUAAGUAGUGUGAAUUGCAGAAUUCAGUGAAUCAUCGAAUCUUUGAACGCACAUUGCGCCCCAUGGUAUUCCGUGGGGCAUGCCUGUUCGAGCGUCAUUUACCCCCUCAAGCUCCGCUUGGUGUUGGGCGUCUGUCCCGCUUCGCGCGCGGACUCGCCCCUAAGGUAUUGGCAGCGGUCGUGCCAGCUUCUCGCGCAGCACAUUGCGCUUCUCGAGGCACCGGUGGGCCCGCGUCCAUCAAGCUCACCCCCCCAGUUUGACCUCGGAUCAGGUAGGGAUACCCGCUGAACUUAAGCAUAUCAAUAAGCGGAGGA